ACUCAAAUGAAUAGACGGGGACCCGCACAAGCGGUGGAGCAUGUGGUUUAAUUCGACGCAACGCGAAGAACCUUACCUAGGCUAGAAUGCGAGGGAAGAGAGGGUAACACCGAUCGUCCGGGAAACCGGACCCAAAGCAAGGUGCUGCAUGGCUGUCGUCAGCUCGUGUCGUGAGAUGUUGGGUUAAGUCCCGCAACGAGCGCAACCCUUAUCAAUAGUUGCCAUCAUUAAGUUGGGAACUCUAUUGAGACUGCCGUUGAUAAAACGGAGGAAGGUGGGGAUGAUGUCAAGUCAUCAUGGCCUUUAUGCUUAGGGCUACACACGUGCUACAAUGGCCGGUACAAAACGUAACGAUCCCGCGAGGGGGAGUCAAUCGCAAAAACCGGUCUCAGUUCGGAUUGAAGUCUGCAACUCGACUUCAUGAAGCUGGAAUCGCUAGUAAUCGCAGAUCAGAACGCUGCGGUGAAUACGUUCCCGGGUCUUGUACACACCGCCCGU
rnacentral:rRNA from 1 species